rnacentral:lncRNA from 1 species
AAACCUUCGUAAAUCCAAUAUGCAAAAAAAGGGCACUUUGUUUUAAGCAAUUAAUUUACAACUCCAAGAACCAGAAUAAAUAUCCGACAAAAAGGGAAUGAUAAGAAAAAGUCUUAGCCUAAUAAACCCACCAAACUCAUAAACAAAUACUAAAAGACAAUGUAUAAGAUACAUAAAAAUGAAGGACCAGUGAACAUUCCAAUCCAGAAAAACACAUUACCAAGGAUAUCGCGUUUUUUGAAAGCAAACAUUUGUUGGAGGUCAUAAAGAGGAAUUUGUAAUAAUUGAAAUGUUAAUAUGUAACACCGGAAUUUACCAGUUGCGAGCAGCAUCACAAAUUCGUGUACAAGAGCGGAAAUUAAAAAAGUGAGUAGAACAGCGUGAGAUUUUUUUAAUUUGAAACCGGAAAUUGAUGAAUGGUAAACAUGUCUCAUGAGAAAAACGUGGACAGGCUUAUUCCAUUCGCGCGAAAAUUCAUCCCAUGUAACUGUAUUCCACCAAGCACCAUAAAAUCCACGGUCGGCAAAUUUAGUGAUUUCAGCAAAUGCAUUAAGAAUGCAAUCAAAAAUCAGGUAAAACAUGAUAAGGUAAAGUAUGAUAGCGGGAAACAUAAUUUUGUUCAUUAACAAGGGAGCAAUGCGUAGCUUCCCUAUGAAGUCAAGAUCUUUGACAGCCACAGCACUUGGAACGAAAUACCAAUCUACAAGAGCCAAGGUGAGAGCUAGUAAACCGAAUGUGGAGCCUGCUUUAAAUGCCAUAUAAUGCCAACGGAAAUGGGCAACUCUAGGAAACUCCAUACUAUAGACAAGGGAUGGAACUAAUAAAUAAUCAACGUAAUUAAAGAAAUUGAUGUUAUCAGGAUAAACAACAUUGCCCACUUCGCUACGCAUCUGGCGUGACAAAUAUUUUGCUGUUAAAGCGACAAUUUCUUCUGCCUGCAAUGUAGAUAUCGUUUCAGCAGGCUUAUUGGGAAAAGUCAGUUCAAACGUGUAUUUCUCAUCUUUCUCGGUGGAAUUCAGGCAUUCACGAACAAACUUUAAAAGUUUUUCGUAUUCAUUAUGCAAUAUACGAAUCUCACUGAUAUAGCCCAUAUGGUGAGAAUAAGAAAAUUGUUUCAUAAUUAGAACGGCACAAUGCAGCGUGAAGAAAACACAUUGAACAAUUGGAAAAUCUCGAUGCUUAACCCAAUAGACAGCUAACACCAUAUAAAAGCCCUGCCACAAAGUUUGGAUUGUGUAACCCAAAUUAGCCCAUCUAAUCAUGUUCUUCUCAAUACACACUUGUAAACCAUAACUAAAAAAGCUGAGGCAAAUCAUAAGGAAAUCUGAGCUAAACAACACGAAAAACUGGCGAAAGACCUGUCUAGCUAGUGGUAAACCAAGCAAAGUAUCGCGUUGCCAAUAACUUCUUGCAUAUAACUGUAGUACCCAUGCAGCCAUUGAAAGCCAAAAAAGCACAUAAAACCCUCUAAACUCACUUUUUGCGAAAUAAUUAGGAUCGGUUACACGAUCAAAAAUCGAUUUACGAGGCUUAAACUUAUAAUCAUGGUAAACUUUUCCUGCAAUUAAUAAUUGUUUAUGACGAUCCAGAGGAAAUUCAACAACGUUUGCGUUAUUUUUAUCACCCUUGGAUUUGACAACGAGUCGGCAUUCGGGAAGAGCCUUCAAUAGACUCAUACUGGGAUGAACAUUUGGUUUGUUAAUCGUUGUGCUUAUAUCGCUAAGCGGAGAUGGAGUAAUCAAUAUCCUAGGAGUAUCUGUCAUACUUCAAUCGGUCAAGCUUGCAAUGAGAAGAAACAAAUAGUAUUCAAACCAACUAGCAAAUGGUGAUAAGGAGGUAAGAAAAUAAAUAUUAAUGUAGAUCUAUGAACGUUGAUUCUUUAUUAUUGUUCUGAAUAUUUUACUCUCUUCGUAAACAACUCUGUUUGAAAAUGUUUGUUGAAAAGUCUGAGUUCUGUUUAAAUUAUGAUUCGAUCAUCCCGUUGGAGGAUCAGUACCACUAGUGAGUGCACGUCACCUUCAUCUCAUUACACCCAAGUUACAUGUUCUUUGCUAACUUUAGAAGCAGACGAAGUAAACAAAGCUCUGACUAGUAAAAACAGUUGCAAUCCAAAGAAAUUGAGGUGCUAUUAGAAAUAACUUUGAAAAACUUCUCUAUUUAAAAGAUAUUUUUUCCUCAUCAAUUACUCGGGAUUUUCUCACAUUUAGUGGACCGGAAUAUAACCUUUGAGUAGAAUGUUGAUUUGCUGCUAUUGAAUUUUACCUAAGAGUGUUUUACCUAAAUACACUUAAUUCUUUUUCUUAUUUUCAAUUAAUUAUUAGCCAAACAAUCAGUUGUUGUUUGUCUUGAUUAGUAGCUGCAAAUUUUAUUUGGGAACUAUUAACUGGAAACAUAAUUUCUUUGUGCUCUUUCGAAUAGACCGGUUUUCCUCUAGGAUCGGCCAUUUUGUUUA